GCUGGAUUAGUUCAGAGGAAGAACGCCUGCCUUGUAAGUAGGAUGUCGGGGGUUCGAAUCCCUCAGCCAGCACCA
rnacentral:tRNA from 1 species